AUUGAACGCUGGCGGCAUGCUUUACACAUGCAAGUCGAACGGUAACAGGUUAAGCUGACGAGUGGCGAACGGGUGAGUAAUGCAUCGGAACGUGCCCGGUCGUGGGGGAUAACGCAGCGAAAGCUGCGCCAAUACCGCAUACGAUCUAAGGAUGAAAGCGGGGGACCGUAAGGCCUCGCGCGAUCGGAGCGGCCGAUGUCAGAUUAGGUAGUUGGUGGGGUAAAGGCUCACCAAGCCAACGAUCUGUAGCUGGUCUGAGAGGACGACCAGCCACACUGGGAAUGAGACACGGCCCAGACUCCUACGGGAGUCAGCAGUGGGGAAUUUUGGACAAUGGGCGAAAGCCUGAUCCAGCAAUGCCGCGUGCAGGAAGAAGGCCUUCGGGUUGUAAACUGCUUUUGUACGGAGCGAAAAGGUCUCCUCUAAUACAGGGGGCUCAUGACGGUACCGUAAGAAUAAGCACCGGCUAACUACGUGCCAGCCGCCGCCGUAA
rnacentral:rRNA from 1 species